rnacentral:rRNA from 1 species
UUGAACGCUGGCGGCAUGCCUUACACAUGCAAGUCGAACGGCAGCACGGGUGCUUGCACCUGGUGGCGAGUGGCGAACGGGUGAGUAAUACAUCGGAACAUGUCCUGUAGCGGGGGAUAGCCCGGCGAAAGCCGGAUUAAUACCGCAUACGAUCUACGGAUGAAAGCGGGGGACCUUCGGGCCUCGCGCUAUAGGGUUGGCCGAUGGCUGAUUAGCUAGUUGGUGGGGUAAAGGCCUACCAAGGCGACGAUCAGUAGCUGGUCUGAGAGGACGACCAGCCACACUGGGACUGAGACACGGCCCAGACUCCUACGGGAGGCAGCAGUGGGGAAUUUUGGACAAUGGGCGAAAGCCUGAUCCAGCAAUGCCGCGUGUGUGAAGAAGGCCUUCGGGUUGUAAAGCACUUUUGUCCGGAAAGAAAUCCUUGGCCCUAAUACGGUCGGGGGAUGACGGUACCGGAAGAAUAAGCACCGGCUAACUACGUG